CAAAACGUUUUUAAUAUAUGUUUCACGUUGUUGUGACCGUUAUAAUGGGCAUAUCAAGCACCAAUGCAAUCAUAAUGCCUACUGUAGCGUUUACAACAAUGGGGGACAUUCUAUCGACUUCCGAAGAC
rnacentral:precursor_RNA from 14 species